rnacentral:sRNA from 1 species
AACACGUAAAACUGGCACACCCCAUGCAUUACAAAACCCGACAGAUCACAUAGCACUGCCUUCAACGUGGAGGGCGGUGUUUCCCGACAGAACGGGAAUGGACAAAGGCGUCCUCGCUGGGUAACCGGCGGGACGCC